rnacentral:rRNA from 1 species
AGUGAACGCUGGCGGUAGGCCUAACACAUGCAAGUCGAACGGCAGCACAGUAAGAGCUUGCUCUUACGGGUGGCGAGUGGCGGACGGGUGAGGAAUACAUCGGAAUCUACUUUUUCGUGGGGAUAACGUAGGGAAACUUACGCUAAUACCGCAUACGACCUACGGGUGAAAGCAGGGGAUCUUCGGACCUUGCGCGAUUGAAUGAGCCGAUGUCGGAUUAGCUAGUUGGCGGGGUAAAGGCCCACCAAGGCGACGAUCCGUAGCUGGUCUGAGAGGAUGAUCAGCCACAAUGGAACUGAGACACGGUCCAGACUCCUACGGGAGGCAGCAGUGGGGAAUAUUGGACAAUGGGCGCAAGCCUGAUCCAGCCAUACCGCGUGGGUGAAGAAGGCCUUCGGGUUGUAAAGCCCUUUUGUUGGGAAAGAAAAGCAGCAGGUUAAUACCCCGCUGUUCUGACGGUACCCAAAGAAUAAGCACCGGCUAACUUCGUG